GUGCCUAUAGUGUCCCUUUAACCCCUUAAGGACCAAACUUCUGGAAUAAAAGGGAAUCAUGACAUGUCCUACAUGUCAUGUGUCCUUAAGGGGUUAAGGGAACACUAUAGUCAC